GACGAACGCUGGCGGCGUGCUUAACACAUGCAAGUCGAACGGUGACGCGCCUUCCUUUUUCGUGGGUGUGCAUGAGUGGCGACCGGGUGCCUAACACGUCCGUAACCUGCCUCCUUCUUCUGGCUAAUCGCAUGAAAUUGUGGCUAUUCAGGGAUUUUCCGGGUCUGUCUCAUCCUGCGUCUGGGUAUGUUAUUGUUUCGGUGAGGGCUCGGCUCGCGGCCUAUCAGCUUGUUGUCGGGGUGAAUGCCUACCCAGGCGGUGACGAGGAGCCGGCCUGAGCGGGUGCACGGGCACACGGGGACGGAGACACGGCCCAGACGGGAACGAGAGGCAGCAGUGGGGAAUAUUGCACGAUGGGGGGAAGACUGAUGCAGCGACGGCGCGAGAGGGAUGGAGGCCUGCGGGUUGUGAACCUCUGUCGCCAGUGAAGCAGGGCUGCCUCGUUUGUGAGUGUGAUGACGGUAGCGGGAGAAGAAGCGCCGGCUAACUACGUG
rnacentral:rRNA from 1 species